CAAUAACGUAUAUUAAAGUUGUUGCGGUUAAGAAGCUCGUAGUUGGAUUUCUGCUGAGGACGACCGGUCCGCCCUCUGGGUGAGUAUCUGCCUCGGCCUGGGCAUCUUCUUGGAGAACGUAGCUGCACUUGACUGUGUGGUGCGGUAUCCAGGACUUUUAUUUUGAGGAAAUUAGAAUGUUUCAAGCAGGCACACGCCUUGAAUACUUUAGCAUGGAAUAACAAGAUAGGACCUCGGUUCUAUUUUGUUGGUUUCUAGAGCUGAGGUAAUGAUUAAUAGGGAUAGUUGGGGGCAUUUGUAUUUAACUGUCAGAAGUGAAAAUCUUGGAUUUGUUAAAGACGGAUUACUGUGAAAGCAUUUGCCAAGGAUGUUUUCAUUAAUCAAGAACGAAAGUUAGGGGAUCGAAGACGAUCAGUACCAU
rnacentral:rRNA from 1 species